rnacentral:rRNA from 1 species
CAAACGCUGGCGGCGUGCCUAACACAUGCAAGUCGAACGAGAAAUCCCGAGCUUGCUUGGGAGAGUAAAGUGGCGCACGGGUGAGUAACGCGUGGGUAACCUACCUUUGAAUCUGGAAUAACCAGCCGAAAGGCUGACUAAUACCGGAUACGGUUUUUAGGACUUAGGUUCUCUAAAUUAAAGGUGACCUCUUCAUGAAAGUUGCCGUUCAUAGAUGGGCCCGCGUACCAUUAGCUAGUUGGUGGGGUAAUGGCCUACCAAGGCGACGAUGGUUAGCUGGUCUGAGAGGAUGAUCAGCCACACUGGAACUGGAACACGGUCCAGACUCCUACGGGAGGCAGCAGUGAGGAAUUUUGCGCAAUGGGGGAAACCCUGACGCAGCAACGCCGCGUGAGCGAAGAAGGCCCUCGGGUCGUAAAGCUCUGUCAAGUGGGAAAAAAAUCUUUUGAUCAAUAGUCAAAAGACUUGAUGGUACCACUGGAGGAAGCACCGGCUAACUCC